rnacentral:rRNA from 1 species
UACGUAGGGUGCAAGCGUUGUCCGGAAUUAUUGGGCGUAAAGAGCUCGUAGGCGGUUUGUUGCGUCGGCUGUGAAAACCUGAGGCUCAACCUCAGGCCUGCAGUCGAUACGAGCAGGCUCGAGUUCGGUAGGGGAGACUGGAAUUCCUGGUGUAGCGGUGAAAUGCGCAGAUAUCAGGAGGAACACCGGUGGCGAAGGCGGGCCUCUGGGCCGAUACUGACGCUGAGGAGCGAAAGCGUGGGGAGCAAACAGG